CUAAAUCAUCAUUAUGGUUGAUAUUGAAAUUUCAAUGCAAAAUAAACGUUGAAUCACCAUUACCAUAUCGAUGAAAACCUGAUGUUUUCAUGAUAAUAUUGGAACAACAUUGAUCUAGUUAUCUUUACGAUUGGAAGUGCAAUCCCCGAAUGUGUUGAAACAUAGUUGAUAAUGCAUCGAUAUAUAGUUGACCGGGAAAUAUGAUUGAAAUCCAUUGAAUUUUGGUUGACCGGGAGAUCAACGGGUGGUAAACCAACGUACUGCACGAGACAAGCUCAUUUCUGGACCCUUGGCACGAGCGUAGCUACAGGUAAGCUUGCUUAAUGUUCGAUAUGAAUGAAUCAAAUACCGUUAGGCUGAUCGUUGUAGUAUAAUGAUUAGUGUAGUAACCAACGCAGUGCUGCAGCUAACGUUAGUCAUGAAAUAGAUUUUUGUUUUACUAAUGUGUUCAAAUCUUCCAAAAGCAGGCUAGCCUACUUUGUGGUUCUCUUUACAGUUAGCAAAACCUCAGAGUCCAGCCUAUUUUUAUAGCUGGCUCAAAAUACACGUCACUCGGUACCCAUUGCUAAUAGUGUCGUGAAAUCUAUUUUACAGUCACCGCUAUUUCUUCUGCCCGCCGGAAAACACCAUAAUAACAGUGUGCUCCAUCUAGCGCUAACGGUAACGUCCAUCAAGCUAGCCUGUUGGCGGCGCCGUGCGCUCAAACCUUUGAGAGAUCACGGCUGAUUAGCACUACGUAGCCACCACCAAGGGCACGGAAGUCAUGUCGUGCAUGUUUGAGCGCUAACGUUAACGUUACCCCACAGAAGUGACCGCAGCGGGCCAGAAUUACACAAAAUACAUGACGUACCUCAUUAUUCAAUGCAGAACUGUCUCGAGUUGUAACUGGAAAAGCUAACCAUCUCGUUGUAAUACAAAUCCAAAAUAAUAAAAAUCCUCGAGCAGGGCUGCAUAUGCGUGGGAUACAGUUUUGUAACUCCUGUUUGUUUUCAGAAAUUAUAACAGUCGUUUUAUAGACAAGUUUACGAGCCGUUUCGUGGGCGCCAUUCCUCUACAGAAAUGCAUUUCACUUCUGCCGGUGUUGUUCCCAGCGUCUGCCGGUGUAAACAGUGAUGUCGAUGCUAGUUUGGGAACACGGAUCUACGUAUUUGACUGAGAUGGCGUUACUAUCCCGCACCCCAAUCCAGUGCAGAACUGGGAGGAUAACAUGACAUCGUGGCCCAGCAUUACGUACAGCGAGAUUUGCUCAUACUUCGUGCAAUUGAGCAAUGGACAGUCUGAAAGCCUCCGAGGCAGAUCAGUAUCUGACAGCAACAAAGCCGGUUGUGUCAUGUCAUACAAACAUGACCGUUUUGUUUAUCUAAAAGCAAAAGUACAUGUUUGAUCAGUGUAUGUGUUAAUAUAUUGGGCUAAUUUUGUUAUAAUUGCUCAAGAUAAUUGUUUAUAAAUACAUUUUAUAAUCUAAUAAUGUCACAGGUAAUAACCAAGUUAAUGUUGAAAGAACUUUCAGGAUAUUUUUAAUAAUUGUUUAAUGGCAUCUUCUUGGUACAUGAAGGCCAGUAUCACUAAUACCAAUACUGGUAUAUUGGAUUUUCCAAUUUAACUAAUUAAUUAUGAAAUGUAUUAGGCUCCAAAAAUAACCUUUUUAAUGUUAAUCUUAAUACAAUCUUCACACAAGCCCAAGUCAGAUUGAUGUGCCUCUGUGUCUACAGGAAAUACACAGAAAUUAAAUAUCAAGUCAAUUUUAUUUUAGAGAUACUGCUAAAUAGCACAAACCGCCAGGCAAUGGUAGUGGUUUAAUAGUUACAAUAUUCUUCUUUCAGAAAUGUAUCAUUUCGAUGAGGAGCCCCAGAAUGAGCGAGGAUUUUUACUUCCAGCAGCAAUCCAACUAGCCAGUCAGGACAGCCAAUCACCACCACCUCCACGAAUCUAUCAAACCCGUUCUCCCCAAUGAAUUUACUCCAGAGGCCAUCUCCUGAAGGUUGUUACAGAUUCUUCAGAAACUGCCAGGUUGGCAUUAAAAGGCAAGUACAGUCAAAUCCUAGGGGCCCAGCCUUAUCUUUCCUCACUUAUUUAAAUUAUUGAUGGAUUUACCACUUAUAAAUGUUAGCUUAAAGUUCCAUCCAUCCAUUGUCAAACCGCUUAUCCUGCACACAGGGGUCGCGGGGGGGCUGGAGUCCAUCCAGCCCCCCCGCGACCAAACUUUGGGGGAUAGACAGGGUACAUCCUGGAUUGGUCGCCAGCCAAUCGCAGUAGCUUAAAGUUUAAUGGACAAAUUUAUGGUGGUAAACUUUUUAACAGUUGUUUAUUUUAGCAAUAUCUUUUUCCAUUGGUUAAAGCCUUAAAAAUCCAAACCUUUGAAUAUUAGUGUCACGGUGUGGUUCACUUUAUGUUAUAUUUUGUAGUUUUCUGCCACUCGUGUCCCCGGGUAACUUCACUUUCUGCCUUGUCCCGUCAUCCCCUGUGAUCGUCUUCCAAUCACCUGCACCUCCCCUAGUGUAUUUAAACCAUGUGUGUCUGUUGUCACUUGUUGCGUCAUUGUCUUUCGCCACGCUUGUUCUUGCCUUUUGUCUUGGAUGUCCGUAGUUUCUUGCCUGUUUGCUUUUGCCCCCGGUUCCUGUGACUAUUUUUGACUAUUAAAGUCUUUUGUUUUCGGCGAAGUCUGCAUUUGAGUCCUGCCUCCCACCCACACCCCUGACAAUUAGUGUAUGACAAUGAAAAAACAAAUAGCGUGUACACUGACUGCUCUAAGCCAUUUUUUAUGAUACAUUUCUUUGUUCAACAUCGUAAAUUUGUUUGUACAAUUUUAUUUGUCAAUCGAUGUGGCCAUGCAAAAACUUCUUACUGCAGUGACAGAGUUGUCCAAGGAGGUGAAGGACCUGCGAGAGGAGUUCAGGCAAUUCCGCCAGUCCUGCAGGUGUGGACAGUCGGAGUCUGUGGGACGGCCACUGGCGGAGCCCUUGGAGCUGCCCCUCCACACUAUGGAGGCCCUGGACCGUGCGGAAGAGAUACUGCUAAACGGCACAAACCACUAGGCAAUGGUAGUGGUUUAAUAGUUAGAUUAUUCUUCUUUCAGAAAACUUCACUGAUAUGCACAACUUCCUUAAACUGCCUGCCAGUCAUGACAGUAGACUAAUAGGUUCAUUUUUAUUGAACCUUAAUCUCAGUAAUUCCACGUUUCACAUUUCAAUAUCUCCUAAAAACUGCUGUUGUUUCAGUACACCUUUAUCAAUCCAAGUUACAUUCAGACUGAAAACAAAAAAUUAUGCACAGACCAAAUUGGCUGAAAAUUAUGUUCGAUCAUUGAAACACUGGGUAUUUGACAAAAGCAGAAUGAAGAAAUCCAAGACCCUGAGUGGUUUUUACUCUGGAGUUACAUAUACUACAUGCGUUGAUGCGUUGCAGCUGCACCCAAACGAAGGAGCUGGAAAAGAUUGGUGCAACAUCCAUUAUUUGUACUUAGUUCAGAUUUAAGCCGUCCGACGAGCAGCAGCAAACUAUAGACAGUGUGUGGAGCAACAGUUCGGUAACACGACUAAUCUAUUCUACCACCUCAUUCAAAACAAAACCUAUUACUGAAUACCAGCGCGCACGUAUUAUUCACAAUCUAACUUAGUUGUUUAACUGUUAGCAUAUCUCUGUCUGCACCUGAUUUUAAGAAUUGUUGUGUUGCUUUUUAAAUGAAAAGACAUCGUUUUUUCUGCUCUUUGCAUCUUUUGUGUACUUUAAGAAAACAGGCUAACUAAAACUACAUUUGGUUGAACUAUUUUGCACUUUUUACUGUCUAUGGCAUGGCGCUAAGUGAUAUAUUUUGAGCCUUUUAUUUGUUAUCAUUUUGAUGAUUAUGGCUUACAGCUUUAUGAAAACCUUUUCACAAUAUUCUCAUUUUAAAUUUGGGGUUUCAUAUGCUCCAAGCCGUAAUAGCAACAUUAGGCCUACUUAAGUCUCUGCAGCUAGUGUACUUACAUUUUAUUUAACUGUCAAAUUAUGUUUUGCACAAUAUUUGUUUUCAAAACUACAUACACCCUUUCUUUUUUUACAUACAUUUAGCAGUUGUUUAGCAGGGUCUGUGUAACCUGUUCUGAAAUGGUUUUAUUAUAAUUUAUAUUGCGAUAUAUAUAGUUAUUGCAAGAGGCUGCAAUGUAUAUCGCAAUAUGGAUUGUAGGCCAUAUCGCCCAUCUCUAAUUGAUAGCC
ensembl:lncRNA